GUUUUAGAUAGCUUAACUAGGAGAACGCUUCGCGUCUAACGAAAAGAUCUGGGUUCAAUUCCCGGUCCGGGCU
rnacentral:tRNA from 1 species